CCUACGGGUGGCAGCAGUGAGGAAUAUUGGUCAAUGGACGAGAGUCUGAACCAGCCAAGUAGCGUGAAGGAUGACUGCCCUAUGGGUUGUAAACUUCUUUUAUAUGGGAAUAAAAUGUUCCACGUGUGGGAUUUUGUAUGUACCAUAUGAAUAAGGAUCGGCUAACUCCGUGCCAGCAGCCGCGGUAAUACGGAGGAUCCGAGCGUUAUCCGGAUUUAUUGGGUUUAAAGGGAGCGUAGGUGGAUUGUUAAGUCAGUUGUGAAAGUUUGCGGCUCAACCGUAAAAUUGCAGUUGAAACUGGCAGUCUUGAGUACAGUAGAGGUGGGCGGAAUUCGUGGUGUAGCGGUGAAAUGCUUAGAUAUCACGAAGAACUCCGAUUGCGAAGGCAGUUCACUGGACUGAAACGGACACUGAGGCACGAAAGUGUGGGUAUCAAACAGGAUUAGAUACCCUUGUAGUC
rnacentral:rRNA from 1 species